rnacentral:rRNA from 1 species
CCUACGGGUGGCAGCAGUGGGGAAUAUUGCUCAAUGGGCGAAACCCUGAUCCAGCGACGCCGCGUGAGUGAAGAAGUUACUCGGUAUGUAAAGCUCUAUCAGUAGGGAAGAAAAUGACGGUACCCGAGUAAGAAGCCCCGUGUAACUACGUGCCAGCUGCCGCGGUAACACGCAGGGGGCAAGCGUAAUCCGGAGUUACUGGGUGUAAAGGGAGCGUAGACGGCAGUGUCAGUCUGGAGUGAAAGGCGGGGGCUCAACCCCCGGACUGCUCUGGAAACUGUACGGCUGGAGUGCAGGAGAGGUAGGUGGAAUGCCUAGUGUAGCGGUGAAAUGCGUAGAUAUUAGGAGGAACACCAGUGGCGAAGGCGGCUUACUGGACUGUAACUGACGUUGAGGCUCGAAAGCGUGGGGAGCAAACAGGAUUAGAUACCCGAGUAGUC